GUGUGAUGAUGUGUCAUUUAUACGGAGAGAGUUAACCAACUUUCAUAUAUAUGAUUUGGCUUAGUUCCCAAAUUAUAAUGAAUUACAUAGUUCAUAU